GCACCUCGAUGUCGGCUCGUCGCAUCCUGGGGCUGGAGUCGGUCCCAAGGGUUGGGCUGUUCGCCCAUUAAAGCGGUACGCGAGCUGGGUUUAGAACGUCGUGAGACAGUUCGGUCCCUAUCCGCUGUGCGCGUAGGAAUAUUGAGAAGGGCUGUCCCUAGUACGAGAGGACCGGGACGGACGAACCUCUGGUGUGCCAGUUGUCCUGCCAAGGGCAUGGCUGGUUGGCUACGUUCGGAAAGGAUAACCGCUGAAAGCAUCUAAGCGGGAAGCCUGCUUCGAGAUGAGUAUUCCCACCCCCUUUGAGGGGUUAAGGCUCCCAGUAGACGACUGGGUUGAUAGGCCAGAUGUGGAAGCCCGGUAACGGGUGGAGCUGACUGGUACUAAUAGGCCGAGGGCUUGUCCUC
rnacentral:rRNA from 1 species